rnacentral:rRNA from 1 species
GGGUUGUGAGGUUAAGCGACUAAGCGUACACGGUGGAUGCCUAGGCAGUCAGAGGCGAUGAAGGGCGUGCUAAUCUGCGAAAAGCGUCGGUAAGCUGAUAUGAAGCGUAAUAACCGACGAUACCCGAAUGGGGAAACCCAGUGCAAUUCGUUGCACUAUUGCAUGGUGAAUACAUAGCCAUGCAAGGCGAACCGGGGGAACUGAAACAUCUAAGUACCCCGAGGAAAAGAAAUCAACCGAGAUUCCCCCAGUAGCGGCGAGCGAACGGGGAAGAGCCCAGAGUCUGAAUCAGUUGGUGUGUUAGUGGAAGCGUCUGGAAAGUCGCACGGUACAGGGUGAUAGUCCCGUACACAAAAACACACUGGCUGUGAACUCGAUGAGUAGGGCGGGACACGUGACAUCCUGUCUGAAUAUGGGGGGACCAUCCUCCAAGGCUAAAUACUCCUGACUGACCGAUAGUGAACCAGUACCGUGAGGGAAAGGCGAAAAGAACCCCGGCGAGGGGAGUGAAAUAGAACCUGAAACCGUGUACGUACAAGCAGUGGGAGCACCUUCGUGGUGUGACUGCGUACCUUUUGUAUAAUGGGUCAGCGACUUAUAUUUUGUAGCAAGGUUAACCGAAUAGGGGAGCCGUAGGGAAACCGAGUCUUAACUGGGCGUCUAGUUGCAAGGUAUAGACCCGAAACCCGGUGAUCUAGCCAUGGGCAGGUUGAAGGUUGGGUAACACUAACUGGAGGACCGAACCGACUAAUGUUGAAAAAUUAGCGGAUGACUUGUGGCUGGGGGGUGAAAGGCCAAUCAAACCGGGAGAUAGCUGGUUCUCCCCGAAAGCUAUUUAGGUAGCGCCUCGUGAACUCAUCUUCGGGGGUAGAGCACUGUUUCGGCUAGGGGUCCAUCCCGGAUUACCAAACCGAUGCAAACUCCGAAUACCGAAGAAUGUUAUCACGGGAGACACACGGCGGGUGCUAACGUCCGUCGUGAAGAGGGAAACAACCCAGACCGCCAGCUAAGGUCCCAAAGUCAUGGUUAAGUGGGAAACGAUGUGGGAAGGCAUAGACAGCCAGGAUGUUGGCUUAGAAGCAGCCAUCAUUUAAAGAAAGCGUAAUAGCUCACUGGUCGAGUCGGCCUGCGCGGAAGAUGUAACGGGGCUAAACCAUGCACCGAAGCUGCGGCAGCGACGCUUAGGCGUUGUUGGGUAGGGGAGCGUUCUGUAAGCCGUUGAAGGUGGCCUGUGAGGGCUGCUGGAGGUAUCAGAAGUGCGAAUGCUGACAUAAGUAACGAUAAUGCGGGUGAAAAACCCGCACGCCGGAAGACCAAGGGUUCCUGUCCAACGUUAAUCGGGGCAGGGUGAGUCGACCCCUAAGGCGAGGCUGAAAAGCGUAGUCGAUGGGAAACAGGUUAAUAUUCCUGUACUGGGUGUGACUGCGAAGGGGGGACGGAGAAGGCUAGGCUAGCCGGGCGACGGUUGUCCCGGUUUAAGCAUGUAGGCGGAGCGACUUGGUAAAUCCGGUUGCUUAUCAACGCUGAGGUGUGAUGACGAGCCACUACGGUGGUGAAGUAGUUGAUGCCAAGCUUCCAGGAAAAGCCUCUAAGCAUCAGGUGACAUUCAAUCGUACCCCAAACCGACACAGGUGGUCAGGUAGAGAAUACUCAGGCGCUUGAGAGAACUCGGGUGAAGGAACUAGGCAAAAUGGUGCCGUAACUUCGGGAGAAGGCACGCUGGCAUUAGGUAAAGAGACUUGCUCUCGGCGCCGAAGCCAGUCGCAGAUACCAGCUGGCUGCAACUGUUUAAUAAAAACACAGCACUGUGCAAACACGAAAGUGGACGUAUACGGUGUGACGCCUGCCCGGUGCUGGAAGGUUAAUUGAUGGGGUCAGCCGCAAGGCGAAGCUCUUGAUCGAAGCCCCAGUAAACGGCGGCCGUAACUAUAACGGUCCUAAGGUAGCGAAAUUCCUUGUCGGGUAAGUUCCGACCUGCACGAAUGGCGUAAUGAUGGCCAGGCUGUCUCCACCCGAGACUCAGUGAAAUUGAACUCGCUGUGAAGAUGCAGUGUACCCGCGGCAAGACGGAAAGACCCCGUGAACCUUUACUAUAGCUUGACACUGAAUAUUGAGCCUUGAUGUGUAGGAUAGGUGGGAGGCAUUGAAGCGUGGACGCCAGUCUGCGUGGAGCCAACCUUGAAAUACCACCCUUUAAUGUUUGAUGUUCUAACUCGGCCCCAUAAUCUGGGGUGAGGACAGUGUCUGGUGGGUAGUUUGACUGGGGCGGUCUCCUCCCAAAGAGUAACGGAGGAGCACGAAGGUUAGCUAAUCACGGUCGGACAUCGUGAGGUUAGUGCAAAGGCAUAAGCUAGCUUGACUGCGAGAGUGACGGCUCGAGCAGGUACGAAAGUAGGUCUUAGUGAUCCGGUGGUUCUGAAUGGAAGGGCCAUCGCUCAACGGAUAAAAGGUACUCCGGGGAUAACAGGCUGAUACCGCCCAAGAGUUCAUAUCGACGGCGGUGUUUGGCACCUCGAUGUCGGCUCAUCACAUCCUGGGGCUGAAGUAGGUCCCAAGGGUAUGGCUGUUCGCCAUUUAAAGUGGUACGCGAGCUGGGUUUAGAACGUCGUGAGACAGUUCGGUCCCUAUCUGCCGUGGGCGUUGGAAGAUUGAGAGGGGCUGCUCCUAGUACGAGAGGACCGGAGUGGACGCAUCACUGGUGUUCGGGUUGUCAUGCCAAUGGCAUUGCCCGGUAGCUAAAUGCGGAAAAGAUAAGCGCUGAAAGCAUCUAAGCGCGAAACUUGCCUCGAGAUGAGUCUUCCCUGGGGCUUUAAGCCCCCUGAAGGAACGUUAAAGACUAUGACGUUGAUAGGCUGGGUGUGUAAGUGCAGCGAUGCAUUGAGCUAACCAGUACUAAUGAUCCGUGAGGCUUAACCUUACAACACCGAAGGUGUUU